rnacentral:rRNA from 1 species
GUUUUGGUGCGGGCUGCGAGAGUGGUACCAAAUCAAGGCAAACUCUGAAUACUAAGACAUUUAGUUAACCAGUGAGACAUUGGGGGAUAAGCUUCAAUGUCAAGAGGGAAACAGCCCAGAUUACUAGUUAAGGCCCCUAAAUAAUUGCUAAGUGGUAAAGGAGGUGGGAUUGCAUAGACAAUCAGGAGGUUUGCCCAGAAGCAGCAAUCCUUUAAAGAGUGCGUAAUAGCUCACUGUUCGAGUGAUCCUGCGCCGAAAAUGACUGGGACUAAGCAAUUUGCCGAAACUGUAAGAUGUUUAAACAUCGGUAGGGGAGCGUUCUACAUUAGUGAGAAGAAUUAACGAAAGUGGGUUUGGACAAAGUAGAAGUGAGAAUGUCAGCUUGAGUAGCGAAAACAUUGGUGAGAAUCCAAUGCCCCGAAAACCUAAGGGUUCCUCCGGAAGGCUCGUCCGCGGAGGGUGAGUCAGGUCCUAAGGUAAGGCUGAAAAGCGUAGUCGAUGGAUAACAGGUUAAUAUUCCUGUACUGUUUAUUGUUGGUAAAGGGGGACGGAGA